rnacentral:rRNA from 1 species
AGGACGAACGCUGGCGGCGUGCUUCACACAUGCAAGUCGAACGGGGCUCAUUCGGUGGUAACACCGGAGAAGGCCUAGUGGCGAACGGGUGCGUAACACGUGAAGAACCUGCCCCGAAGACUGGGAUAACAGCGGGAAACCGCUGCUAAUACCGGAUGACCCCACCAGGCCGCAUGGCCAGGUGAGGAAAUGGGCCUACCGCUUCGGGAGGGCUUCGCGGCCUAUCAGCUUGUUGGUGGGGUAACGGCCUACCAAGGCUACGACGGGUAGCUGGUCUGAGAGGACGACCAGCCACACUGGGACUGAGACACGGCCCAGACUCCUACGGGAGGCAGCAGUGGGGAAUCUUGCGCAAUGGGCGAAAGCCUGACGCAGCAACGCCGCGUGAGGGAUGAAGGUCUUCGGGUUGUAACCUCUUUCGAGCAGGGACGAUUGUGACGGUACCUGCAGAAGAAGCUCCGGCAACUACGCGCCAGCAGCCGCGGU